AAAAUGAUGGCGCUUCCUUCUCCUGCCAAACCCUUGCAAAACCUCCUCAGCGCCAGGUGCAUCUCUUUCUUUAACUUGUGCAUUAAUCGUAUUUGUCUGUAAAGUGUGCUUCUUUAUCAAGAAAUCGGAUGGCGUCGACGCCACCACACUGCUCAAUCACUGGAACCAAGCCUUAUCAGAACCAACCUUACCCACAAAAUCACUUGAAUAAUCACCGCCAAAGCCACCAUCAGAACCCCCAACGACGCUGGACCAAUCAUAAAGUUUCUCUUGCAAAAC
rnacentral:lncRNA from 1 species